CUUUCAUCCUCUUUUUCUUCCCCUUUCUGGCCUCUUUGUAUGACUAUAUUUGGCAAGAAGAUGGAGCCGGGCCAGGUUUUUCCACGUGUGCCGAGAGCUCCCAGCUGAGCAGGAGAGGGUUCUCUUCCGGAUCGCUCCCAGAAGGGAAGCUUGGCCUCUUUUCCUCAAUCGAGCAACCAAAAGAACCAACUGGUGUUUCUCAGUGUGAUUGUAACACCUCUUUCACUGUUAAAAAAAACAACCCUA